CGUCACCACGAGCGCGAGAAGUCGAAGGUGUAUCAGUAUGAAGCAGGCGGUGACGGCGCACUGAUUCACUCUCGGAGCUCGGUUCACUAAUGACCGAAUCACCGAGGAACCGACCAAAGAUAACUCACACCCGCACGGAGAAGAAGAACAAGAGGAGGAGAAGAUGAGCUGGAGUGGGGCAAAGAGAACUGCAUUCAGAUCAAACGGAUACAAGAGAGGUGGCCGAGUUGUUUGAGGAUCUAAAGAAUUGAGUGUCACAAUUCAACAUGCACAUCAGCGAAACUUUUCCCUCUGACUACACCAGCACGCACGCACAGAAAUUCAUAGUGCAGGUGGCGAUUGCAGGCACAUUUUAUCCGAACUGCUUCCUCCAGGGAACUGUGGACGAGGAGCUCGCCUCCAAGGAACUCUAUGGAAACGACCCCAGGACCACCAUAGUGGUGUGUAAUCUCCCUCCAUUUGCAUUCCUCUACUAUAAACAGCUCCAGUCUCUCUUCAGACACUGUGGUUAAAUCAAAUCCAUCUCCUUUGACAGCUCCAGGGCCUAUGUAGAGUUCUACCGCUCGUCAAUGAGAGGUUCUGGCGUUCUCCCAGAGGUCUCUCUGUCUCUCCUCCUCGCGCAGAAGAGACUUCCUCUCCAUCUCAACGUUUAACCCGCUGGAGAGGUGGAGACUUGGGCAGGGGGGUAGUGUAUCUCACACCUCAGAUAUACACGGGUGAAUGUGGAUUUUCAGAAUCAGUCAGUGAGCCCUGUCAGGGUUCUGAGCAGCUCCGUUGAGUUGGAGAACCUUCCGUCUAACCCUGUCUUUAUCGUCAAUAUCACCGAGGUGUCUGUUCCGCCUCUUUCACUUUCAGUGCACAAAUAAAAAAGAAGCAGUGGCUCCUGUGUGUGUGUGUGUGUGUGUGUGUGUGUGUGUGUGUGUGUGUGCACUAACAGGAGGUCCAGGUGCAGCCUUUGGAUAUUGAUGAAGAUUUACUGCCCCUGCAAGACCUUCCUCAACUGCGUAGUCUGGAGCAAAGGAUGCAACAGAGCCCAGAUUACAAGCAAAAUCUGGUAAACUGGUUGGCGCUUAUUGACGGGGUGUAUGUGCGUGACUGCACCUGGCGCAUAUUGAAGAGGGUGAUUGCUAACUCCCUGGCAAAGAAUCUCAAUUGGAGGGGAGUCGAUGGAAAGACUUCACUGUCCGCUCUCCAACUCGGAGAGGUCGUGAUUGGAGACGCACCUACAUCUUAAAGUAUUAAAGAUCAUCAAAGGUUACUCUGCCCUUGGCUGCAGUUCAUAGAAACCUCUUCACGGCUAAAGCUGCAGAGAUGGAGGUCGAGGGGACCAUGAAGAGGCGGCUCCAGCUGGCAUCAGAUCGAGAGUGUGGGCGCAAGAGCAGACUUUUGAUAAAGGAGGCGUGUCGGCCUUGGAGAUGAGAAUCACGCCAACUCGGAACGAUCCCCUCUCUUUGUGCAGUUCAUCGACUGUGUGUGGCAGAUGAUGAGACAGGUCAGCUACUGAUGCUUUACACCACAACACUGUUGAAUUCUCCAAUCUGAUUGGUCAGAAGGCGUUGGAGACAUUUCUGGAACAGCAAGAUUCUGAUUCCAGCUGCAAGGGAAAUUACAGCUUUAUAGUGAUGUUCUCGUUCCUAUAGUAACAGCUCAUUCACAGGGUCUAGUAUGGCGUACGCAAUACAUAUUCUAAGCUUAAUCGUAAACAUAUUAUAAACAUGUCACUUAAAGAAAAAGACGUAUGAUCAUUGUGAUCUAGUUAAGAUUUAUAAGUUAUCUAUUUAUGGAAGUUUUAUGGAAGUAGUCUCCAGUGUCAUGGCAGAGAGGACAUUGCACUUUCCAGUUUCUCAGUAACAUUGCAAGUCUUAUUAAUUUCAAGAGUUAGGGGGGAAAAAAGAGAGGCUUGUGAGGGAACUAUUGUUUUAUUUUAAUGUUAUAAAGUAAGAGAUCAUAAUGAGAACUAACUCUCUUUUCCAGGACAUUCCAAAUUGUUCUAUGGCUAUGCCCCAUGUUUGUGCAAUGGUUCAGACCGGUUUUUCCUCUUUUCGCAGCUUCAAAAUGGCUUGCUUUUCUCCCAUAGACAGGUCUCUGGUCUUCAUGUCGGUUUA